rnacentral:rRNA from 1 species
CCUACGGGUGACAGCAGUGAGGAAUAUUGGUCAAUGGGCGGAAGCCUGAACCAGCCAAGUAGCGUGCAGGAUGACGGCCCUACGGGUUGUAAACUGCUUUUAUACGGGAAUAACGCGCCUUACGUGUAGGGCUUUGCAUGUACCGUAUGAAUAAGGACCGGCUAAUUCCGUGCCAGCAGCCGCGGUAAUACGGAAGGUCCGGGCGUUAUCCGGAUUUAUUGGGUUUAAAGGGCGCGUAGGCCGCAUGUCAAGCGUGCUGUGAAAUGUCCGGGCUCAACCCGGGCCUUGCAGCGCGAACUGGCGUGCUUGAGUCCGCGGAAAGCAGGCGGAAUUCGUCGUGUAGCGGUGAAAUGCUGAGAGAUGACGAAGAACCCCGAUUGCGAAGGCAGCUUGCUGCAGCGGAACUGACGCUGAUGCUCGAAAGCGCGGGGAUCGAACAGGAUUAGAUACCCCGGUAGUC